UACGUAGGGGGCUAGCGUUGUCCGGAAUCAUUGGGCGUAAAGCGCGCGUAGGCGGCCAGAUAAGUCCGGUGUGAAAGUCAAAGGCUCAACCUUUGAAUGCCGCUGGAAACUGUCUGGCUUGAGUCCGGAAGGGGCGAGUGGAAUUCCUGGUGUAGCGGUGAAAUGCGCAGAUAUCAGGAGGAACACCAAUGGCGAAGGCAGCUCGCUGGAACGGUACUGACGCUGGAGGCGCGAAAGCCGUGGGGAGCGAACAGG
rnacentral:rRNA from 1 species